UCUUGCAAUCUGUCUUCUGCUUGGCGUAGGAAUUUGGCUUGCUUCCUCCUACAGUAACGCCGCCAAGCUGCUUGUAUGAAGCAAGCUGCCCAUGUCCUCCACUGCACCGAGAAGAACCUGAAUGUGUGCUGGAUAUCCUUGUGGUGAAGACGGCGAAACUGGGAAGCAACAGAUUUCAAGUCUUCAGCUACUAAAGCAAAGGCUUCAACCUCCGUUAGAGCUUGUACAGUUCUAGAUGAGAUAGGGAGAUGGGAAGAUGGAUGGGGAUCCAAGGCCCAUGUAAGAAGAGCUUCUCCACAGAAGUCACCACCCUUGAGAUAAACAGCGUUGAAGAAGCCAGUUCUUCCACCAUUCGUGGUCACACUCACUAGGUCACCUCGCAUGAUAAAAAGCAUCUCAUCAACCGGAUCCCCCUCGCGGACAAUGAAACUAUCCUUUGUGUAAAGGGCUGGCUUGAGACGAUCGCAUAUUGCAUCCAAUAUUUGCUCAUCCAUUUUUGCAAACAUUGGCACUCUCAUGAUUAGAUUGAAACAAAGAUGGUGAUUUAUGUCCCUUCUGAGAUCUUUAGGAAGAGUACGGAUUAGAGUCCUCUCCUCCACACCUCUGGUUUCCUGCCAUU
rnacentral:misc_RNA from 1 species